CCUGUGACAUACCUAUACGUUGCCUCGGCGGAUCAGCCCGCGCCCCGUAAAAAGGGACGGCCCGCCCGAGGACCCCUAAACUCUGUUUUUAGUGGAACUUCUGAGUAAAACAAACAAAUAAAUCAAAACUUUCAACAACGGAUCUCUUGGUUCUGGCAUCGAUGAAGAACGCAGCAAAAUGCGAUAAGUAAUGUGAAUUGCAGAAUUCAGUGAAUCAUCGAAUCUUUGAACGCACAUUGCGCCCGCCAGUAUUCUGGCGGGCAUGCCUGUUCGAGCGUCAUUUCAACCCUCAAGCUCAGCUUGGUGUUGGGACUCGCGGUAACCCGCGUUCCCCAAAUCGAUUGGCGGUCACGUCGAGCUUCCAUAGCGUAGUAAUCAUACACCUCGUUACUGGUAAUCGUCGCGGCCACGCCGUAAAACCCCAACUUCUGAAUGUUGACCUCGGAUCAGGUAGGAAUACCCGCUUCUGAAUGUGACCUNGAUCAGG
rnacentral:misc_RNA from 1 species